UACAGAGGUCUCAAGCGUUUGUUCGGAUUCAUUGGGCGUAAAGGGUGCGUAGGUGGCGCGCUAAGUCAGGUGUGAAAUUUCGGAGCUUAACUCCGAAACUGCAUUUGAUACUGGCGUGCUUGAGGACUGGAGAGGAGACUGGAAUUCAUGGUGUAGCAGUGAAAUGCGUAGAGAUCAUGAGGAAGACCAGUGGCGAAGGCGGGUCUCUGGACAGUUCCUGACACUGAGGCACGAAGGCCAGGGGAGCAAACGGGG
rnacentral:rRNA from 1 species